rnacentral:rRNA from 1 species
GUUGGCGGCGUGGAUUAGGCAUGCAAGUCGUGCGUGAACGUUGGCUUCAGCCAACUAGUAAAGCGGCGGACGGGUGAGUAACGCGUGGGAAAUCUGCCUUUGGUGGGGGAUAACACUUCUAACGGGGUGCUAAUACCGCAUGACAUCCCUCAAUCGCAUGGUUGAGAGAUCAAAGCUGGCCUCUGCUUGCAAGCUAGUGCCCGAAGAUGAUCCCGCGUCCGAUUAGCUUGUUGGUGGGGUAACGGCCUACCAAGGCAACGAUCGGUAGCUGGUCUGAGAGGAUGGUCAGCCACACUGGGACUGAGAUACGGCCCAGACUCCUACGGGAGGCAGCAGUCGAGAGGCUUCGGCAAUGGGGGAAACCCUGACCGAGCGACGCCGCGUGAGGGAUGAAGCCCUUCGGGGUGUAAACCUCUUUUCCAAGAGAAGAACCCUAUCAGGGCAAAUAGGUCUGAUGGCUGACGGUAUUUUGGGAAUAAGCUCCGGCUAACUACGUG